CAGUCGCCGCGGUAAUACGUAGGGGGCAAGCGUUGUCCGGAAUUAUUGGGCGUAAAGCGCGCGCAGGCGGUUUUUUAAGUCUGGUGUCUAAGUGCGGGGCUCAACCCCGUGACGCACUGGAAACUGGGAGACUUGAGUGCAGAAGAGGAGAGCGGAAUUCCACGUGUAGCGGUGAAAUGCGUAGAGAUGUGGAGGAACACCAGUGGCGAAGGCGACUCUCUGGUCUGUAACUGACGCUGAGGAGCGAAAGCGUGGGGAGCGAACAGGAUUAGAUACCCGAGUAGUCCCUGUCUCUUAUACA
rnacentral:rRNA from 1 species